UACGGGGGGAGCAAGCGUUGUUCGGAUUUACUGGGCGUAAAGGGCGCGUAGGCGGCCACCGCAAGUCAGUUGUGAAAUCUCCGAGCUUAACUCGGAAAGGUCAACUGAUACUGCGGGGCUAGAGUGCGGAAGGGGCAACUGGAAUUCUCGGUGUAGCGGUGAAAUGCGUAGAUAUCGAGAGGAACACCUGCGGCGAAGGCGGGUUGCUGGGCCGACACUGACGCUGAGGCGCGAAAGCUAGGGGAGCGAACGGG
rnacentral:rRNA from 1 species